AUUGCUUCCCUGUCUUUUGGCUAAGAUCAAGUGUAGUAUCAGUUAUCAGUUUAAUAGCUGAUACGCCCUCAUCAUGCGAAAUGCCAGGCUGUAUGAAGUACAAGUUGGAAUCAGGAUUGCCUGGAUAAAUAUCAGUAACCUCA
rnacentral:snRNA from 1 species